rnacentral:rRNA from 1 species
AUUGAACGCUGGCGGCGUGCUUAACACAUGCAAGUCGGUCGGUAACAGGUGUAGCAAUACAUGCUGACGAGAGGCGGACGGGUGAGUAAUGCUUGGGAAUCUGCCUAUUAGUGGGGGACAACCCGGGGAAACUCGGGCUAAUACCGCAUACGCUCUACGGAGGAAAGCCGGGGACCGCAAGGCCUGGCGCUAAUAGAUGAGCCCAAGUCGGAUUAGCUAGUUGGUAGGGUAACGGCCUACCAAGGCGACAAUCCGUAGCUGGUCUGAGAGGACGACCAGCCACACCGGAACUGAGACACGGUCCGGACUCCUACGGGAGGCAGCAGUGGGGAAUAUUGGACAAUGGGGGCAACCCUGAUCCAGCGACGCCGCGUGGGUGAAGAAGGCCUGCGGGUUGUAAAGCCCUUUCGGUGGGGAAGAAAAGUCUCGACCUAAUACGUCGGGACCUUGACGUAACCCACUAAAGAAGCACCGGCUAACUCUGUGCCAGCCGCCGCCGU